rnacentral:rRNA from 1 species
AUUGCACGAUGGCGGCAGGCCUAACACAUGCAAGUCGAACGAGUGGCGGACGGGUGAGUAAUGUCUGGGAAACUGCCUGAUGGAGGGGGAUAACUACUGGAAACGGUAGCUAAUACCGCAUAACCUCGGAUGUGCCCAGAUGGGAUUAGCUAGUAGGUGGGGUAAAGGCUCACCUUGGCGACGAUCCCUAGCUGGUCUGAGAGUAUGACGAGGCACUCUGGAACUGAGACACGGUCGAGACUCCUACGGGAGGCAGCAGUGGGGAAUAUUGCACAAUGGGCGCAAGCCUGAUGCAGCCAUGCCGCGUGUAUGAAGAAGGCCUUCGGGUUGUAAAGUACUUUCAGCGGGGAGGCGUUACCCGCAGAAGAAGCACCGGCUAACUCCGUGCCAGCAGCCGCGGUAAUAC